rnacentral:rRNA from 1 species
AUUGAACGCUGGCGGCAGGCCUAACACAUGCAAGUCGAACGGCAGCACAGAAGAGCUUGCUCUUUGGGUGGCGAGUGGCGGACGGGUGAGUAAUGUCUGGGAAACUGCCCGAUGGAGGGGGAUAACUACUGGAAACGGUAGCUAAUACCGCAUAACGUCGCGAGACCAGAGUGGGGGACCUUCGGGCCUCACACCAUCGGAUGUGCCCAGAUGGGAUUAGCUAGUAGGUGGGGUAAUGGCUCACCUAGGCGACGAUCCCUAGCUGGUCUGAGAGGAUGACCAGCCACACUGGAACUGAGACACGGUCCAGACUCCUACGGGAGGCAGCAGUGGGGGAUAUUGCACAAUGGGCGCAAGCCUGAUGCAGCCAUGCCGCGUGUAUGAAGAAGGCCUUCGGGUUGUAAAGUACUUUCAGCGGGGAGGAAGGCGGUGAGGUUAAUAACCUCGCCGAUUGACGUUACCCGCAGAAGAAGCACCGGCUAACUCCGUGCCAGCCGCCGCCGUAA